rnacentral:rRNA from 1 species
GACGAACGCUGGCGGCGUGCUUAACACAUGCAAGUCGAACGGAAAGGCCCUGCUUUUGUGGGGUGCUCGAGUGGCGAACGGGUGAGUAACACGUGAGUAACCUGCCCUUGACUUUGGGAUAACUUCAGGAAACUGGGGCUAAUACCGGAUAGGAGCUCCUGCUGCAUGGUGGGGGUUGGAAAGUUUCGGCGGUUGGGGAUGGACUCGCGGCUUAUCAGCUUGUUGGUGGGGUAGUGGCUUACCAAGGCUUUGACGGGUAGCCGGCCUGAGAGGGUGACCGGCAACAGUGGGACUGAGAUACGGCCCAGACUCCUACGGGAGGCAGAAGUGGGGAAGAUUGAACAAUCGGCGGAAGCCUGAUGCAGAAACGCCGCGGGCGGGAUGACGGACUUCGGGUUGUAAUCCGCUUUCGCCUGUGACGAAGCGUGAGUGACGGUAAGGGGUAAAGAAGCACCGGCUAACUACGUGC